UACGUAGGGUGCGAGCGUUGCCCGGAUUUAUUGGGCGUAAAGGGCUCGUAGGCGGUUUGUCGCGUCGGGAGUGAAAACACACAGCUUAACUGUGUGCUUGCUUCCGAUACGGGCAGACUAGAGGUAUGCAGGGGAGAACGGAAUUCCUGGUGUAGCGGUGAAAUGCGCAGAUAUCAGGAGGAACACCGGUGGCGAAGGCGGUUCUCUGGGCAUUACCUGACGCUGAGGAGCGAAAGUGUGGGGAGCGAACAGG
rnacentral:rRNA from 1 species